rnacentral:rRNA from 1 species
CCUACGGGUGGCAGCAGUGAGGAAUAUUGGUCAAUGGGCGUAAGCCUGAACCAGCCAAGUCGCGUGAGGGAUGAAGGUUCUAUGGAUCGUAAACCUCUUUUAUAAGGGAAUAAAGUGUGGGACGUGUCCUGUUUUGUAUGUACCUUAUGAAUAAGGAUCGGCUAACUCCGUGCCAGCAGCCGCGGUAAUACGGAGGAUCCGAGUGUUAUCCGGACUUAUUGGGUUUAAAGGGUGCGUAGGCGGCCUUUUAAGUCAGCGGUGAAAGUCUGUGGCUCAACCAUAGAAUGGCCGUUGAAACUGGGAGGCUUGAGUAUGUUUGAGGCAGGCGGAAGGCGUGGUGUAGCGGUGAAAUGCUUAGAUAUCACGCAGAACCCCGAUUGCGAAGGCAGCCUGCCAAGCCAUGACUGACGCUGAUGCACGAAAGCGUGGGGAUCAAACAGGAUUAGAUACCCCUGUAGUC